GAUGAACGCUGGCGGCGUGCCUAAUACAUGCAAGUCGAGCGAACGGACGAGAAGCUUGCUUUUCUGAUGUUAGCGGCGGACGGGUGAGUAACACGUGGAUAACCUACCUAUAAGACUGGGAUAACUUCGGGAAACCGGAGCUAAUACCGGAUAAUAUUUUGAACCGCAUGGUUCAAAAGUGAAAGACGGUCUUGCUGUCACUUAUAGAUGGAUCCGCGCUGCAUUAGCUAGUUGGUAAGGUAACGGCUUACCAAGGCAACGAUGCAUAGCCGACCUGAGAGGGUGAUCGGCCACACUGGAACUGAGACACGGUCCAGACUCCUACGGGAGGCAGCAGUAGGGAAUCUUCCGCAAUGGGCGAAAGCCUGACGGAGCAACGCCGCGUGAGUGAUGAAGGUCUUCGGAUCGUAAAACUCUGUUAUUAGGGAAGAACAUAUGUGUAAGUAACUGUGCGCAUCUUGACGGUACCUAAUCAGAAAGCCACGGCUAACUACGU
rnacentral:rRNA from 1 species